CAAUAGCGUAUAUUAAAGUUGUUGCAGUUAAAAAGCUCGUAGUUGGAUUUCUGGUGGGAGCGAUCGGUCUGGCGCUUAGCGCGAGUACUUGCAUCGUCUCCGGCCAUCCUUGGGGAGAGUCUGUCUGGCAUUAGGUUGUCGGGCAGAGGAUCCUCAUCGUUUACUGUGAAAAAAUUAGAGUGUUCAAAGUAGGCUUAUGCCGUUGAAUAUAUUAGCAUGGAAUAAUAAGAUAGGACUUUGGUACUAUUUUGUUGGUUUGCGCACCAAAGUAAUGAUUAAUAGGGACAGUUGGGGGUAUUCGUAUUCCGUUGUCAGAGGUGAAAUUCUUGGAUUUACGGAAGACGAACUACUGCGAAAGCAUUUACCAAGGAUGUUUUCAUUAA
rnacentral:rRNA from 1 species